rnacentral:rRNA from 1 species
GACGAACGCUGGCGGCGUGCCUAAUACAUGCAAGUGGGACGCAAGGAAACACGCUGUGCUUGCACACCGUGUUUUCUUGAGUCGCGAACGGGUGAGUAACGCGUAGGUAACCUGCCUAUUAGCGGGGGAUAACUAUUGGAAACGAUAGCUAAUACCGCAUAAUAUUAAUUAUUGCAUGAUAAUUGAUUGAAAGAUGCAAGCGCAUCACUAGUAGAUGGACCUGCGUUGUAUUAGCUAGUUGGUAAGGUAAGAGCUUACCAAGGCGACGAUACAUAGCCGACCUGAGAGGGUGAUCGGCCACACUGGGACUGAGACACGGCCCAGACUCCUACGGGAGGCAGCAGUAGGGAAUCUUCGGCAAUGGACGAAAGUCUGACCGAGCAACGCCGCGUGAGUGAAGAAGGUUUUCGGAUCGUAAAGCUCUGUUGUAAGUCAAGAACGUGUGUGAGAGUGGAAAGUUCACACAGUGACGGUAGCUUACCAGAAAGGGACGGCUAACUACGUG